AUUGAAGAUGAGCUAUCUAUGGAUAGCGUGAUAUCACAGUGGCCGGUGAUACAUCCAAACGUGUAUUCUGAUGACUAAUCGACGUUAAAGUUGACGAUACAAAUGUGACCCGAAGCUGUUCUUCUUUAAAGUCAUCGUUAUUGUUGUCCUAGCAGAAAUGUGAGAGCCCUCUGGAUUUAAGCGGCAGACGACACACCAGAGACUAAUAAUGUAGACUAUCAGUUUUUGAUAAUUCAGGCGUGCAACCGAAAUCUAUCUUUGGAGUAUAAUAAUAUUGGCUUGCACCACAUAGAAGGGUGCAUCGAGAACUAGUUUUUAGGGAUUGUAUUUUCAGAACAAGCAAACAAACAAGUGUAGUUAUUGGUUAGGUUAAAAAAAGGUGGAGAAGACGGCGUAACCCUCUUAAGAUAAUGUAUGUGCGUGUGUGUUGACUCAAGGGUUGGGGUCGCUGAACACAUAACCCAAUUCGAAACAACCGUUUGGACUAUUAGUCAUUAUCACUACUGAACAAACAUAUCGAGCACUUGCUUAUAACGAAGCAGCAAUAUCUUGUGUUAUUGCAAUUAGCGGUCUCUUGUUGUAUCGGGCCCGAGCGACACAUGUAAUUAAUACAAAAAAGACGGAAUAACAAUUUAAUAAUUUCUAUUGAAAUUAAUGCGAAGCCAACAGAUGAAGGUAUUUGCUAAUGUGUAUUCUAAUACUUACCCAAUAAAUAAAUUUGAGUUUGAAUAAUAACUAGAGUAGAAAUGCUGAUAAAAGCUAAACUAGACUAAAAUUGAAUAAUUGGGUAUUUGAAUGGUAUGAGUUGGUUUAGCUAGAGAAAAACCGCUUUUCCAAGCGCUUAUUUUUUUUUAUCAAGGUUCGUGAUUUCUCAACAAUGACGUUACUGAACGAUAACUGGAAAGAUACCUUAUUUGUUGCAGGAAGUUAUGUAAUUUGUGCCAGACAAUAGAAGUGACAAUUUAAGAUGGCGGAUGAUGAGAAUCAAUCUGAAGUGCUAUUUGUAUAUAGUUGUGUAUACCAAUGGAAAUAAAAAAGUAGUCGAUAGUGAUGAUUCAUACAGGGCUUGUAUUUGGAGUGUACUGAAUAUGAACGAUUUUGUAACAUCAUAGCAAGAUGGACGUUAUAGGGACCUUUUAAUUACAAUCGUACAGGCUGACCAGAUGAGAUAUGAUGCAGAACGGCUGAUAGUCUGAAUAAGCCCAUGCUAGUAUGAGAGACGCAAAGCGGGACAAAUGUUGUUACAAUAAAGUCAGAUUGCUUAUCAAACAUGUUGGUA